CUGUGGUAAUUCUAGAGCUAAUACAUGCACCAAAGCUCCGAAUUUUUGACGAGCGCAUCUAUUAGAUUAAAACCAAUCGGGUUUCGGCCCGUUUGUUGGUGACUCUGAAUAACUAUGGCUGAUCGCAUGGUCUAGAACCGGCGACGUGUCUAUCAAGUGUCUGCCUUAUCAACUGUCGAUGGUAGUUUAUGUGCCUACCAUGGUUGUAACGGGUAACGGAGAAUAAGGGUUCGACUCCGGAGAGGGAGCCUGAGAAACGGCUACCACAUCCAAGGAAGGCAGCAGGCGCGCAAAUUACCCACUCUCGGCAUGAGGAGGUAGUGACGAAAAAUAACGAGACCGUUCUCUAUGAGGCCGGUUAUCGGAAUGGGUACAAUUUAAACCCGUUAACGAGGAUCUAUGAGAGGGCAAGUCUGGUGCCAGCAGCCGCGGUAAUUCCAGCUCUCAAAGUGUAUAUCGUCAUUGCUGCGGUUAAAAAGCUCGUAGUUGGAUCUGCGCCUCAGGACCUGGUCCGCCCACUGGGUGAGAACUGGGCUCCUGGGCUAGUUCUGCUGGUUUUCCCUGCGUUGCCUUCAUCGGUAGCGUAGGGUGGCUAGCGAGUUUACUUUGAAAAAAUUAGAGUGCUUCACGCGGGCUUAUGUCUGAAUACUCGUGCAUGGAAUAAUAGAAUAGGAUCUCGGCUCUAUUUUGUUGGUUUUCUGAUCUGAGAUAAUGGUUAAGAGGGACGGACGGGGGCAUUCGUAUCGCUGCGUGAGAGGUGAAAUUCUUGGACCGUAGCGAGACGUCCGACUGCGAAAGCAUUUGCCAAGAAUGUCUUCAUUAAUCAAGAACGAAAGUCAGAGGUUCGAAGG
rnacentral:rRNA from 1 species